CUGAUUUUCACCGAGAACAUUCCACUUCCGGUGUCCCACGCAUUGUUUCGGCGCCAUAUUGUUUCCCAGACCGGCCUCCAGAUUUGGUUGAAUGAAGCUGGCAUAGACAGGAAAGUUAUGAGGUGUGGAGUUUCUCUCCCGUGUCCUGUGGUGACGUAAGCGUGGACCUCCGGCUCUGGGCAAGAGUGUCUCCAAGUUUUGCUGGCCUCAUCAGCAGCAUGGGAAAGAGGAGAAAGUUCUAUGAGAUCUGCUCCUUGACUUUACCUUUGGUCCACAAAGACCCCAUAGGAUUUUCACAUUUGUUUUAGGAAAGUCUGAACACGCCUGCCAGAUGGUUGACAGUGAGCCCCCACAAGACACAGAAUGGAGGCUUGGUGUGGUCCUGGUCCCUGCACGGGGCACACAAAAGUUGCCAAGUUCCAAGCUCCCACUGGCAAAGCACCAGGAACGAGUUACAAAGUGUGCUGAACUUCCCAUGGAGGGGCCACGUCUGAUCUUCAGAGCAAGCCUCUGCCCCUUCCUCCCACCGGAUUCCAAUAUCCAAAAGUCAGACCUUAUGUUUCCAGCCCCUGGUGCGUAGAGGUGCUUGAUUAAAUCUUUUGAUAAGAAUUAAGUUUUGGUCCAUCACUGAGAAGAGAGCAUAAUUAACAGGCUUUUAAAAAAAAAUAGGCUGCUUGUUAGAGCAGUUUUAGAUUCACAGUAACAUUGAGGGGACAGUACAGAGUGCUCCCUCACCCCUGCACCGGUUAUGGCUGAUGAACCUGCACGGAUCCACCAUCAUCACCCAGAGUCCAUAGUUCACGCCAGGGCUCACUCUUGGUGGUGUGCAUUCCGUGGGGUACGACAACUGUAGAAGGACAUGCAUGCACCAGACAGUAUCAUUCAGAAUAGUUCCACUGCCCUACCAGUUCUCUGUGCUCUGCCUUCUAACGCUUCCCCACCCAGCCCCUGGCAACCACUGCUCUUACUGUCUCCGUUCUUUCGCCUUUUCUAGAAGGUCAUAUAGUUGGAAUCAUUCAGUACAUAGCCUUUUCAGAUUGGCUGCUUUCGCUUAGUGAUUUGCGCUUAAGGUUCCUCCUUGUCUGGUCACGGCUUGAUAGGUCAUUUCCCUUCAGUGCUGAGUAUUAGUCCGUUGUCUAAGGAGAGCAUAAUUUUCAUCUCAUAGAAAUGAAAAGCACUCCCUAGAUCCAUGGAAUUUGUCCUGAGCGUCGGAGCCAGACCCAGCACAGAACUGCUGGCACAUCCAGGAUCCACUGUCCCUAAAGAGACACAGAAAAUAAUUUUUUCCCCCUGAAUGGCAAUUGCGAUGGGAUCCUGACCCAUAGGUCCCCAUGAUAAAAAGCAGCCCAUGUGGGCCUGUCAUCUGAAGUGCAAACUAGCUAUUAUGUAUACAGUCCAGUCUCCAGGACCGUCAUGCUUAGCUCCAUGAAUAAAGCGCUUGCGGGAAAUUGCACUUCUAGGUAUUUAUCCAAAGGACACAGGUGUGCUGAUUCAGGGAGCACACGCACCCCAAUGUUUAUAGCAGCACUAUCGACAAUAACCAAAGUAUGGAAAGAGCCCAAGUAUCCAUCGACAGACGAAUGGAUGAAGAAGAUGUGGUGCAUACAUACGACGGGAUGCUACUCGACGAUCAAAAAGGAUGAAAUCCUGCCAUUUGCAACAACGUGGAUGGAACUAGAGUGUAUUAUAUGCUAAGGGAAAGAAGUCAGAGAAAGAGAAGUAACAUAUGAUUCACUCGUAUGUGGAAUUUAAGGAAAACAGAUGAACACAGGGGAAGGAAAAAUAAAAUAAGAUAAAAACGGAGAGGAAGGCAAAGCAUAAGAGACUCAAAUAUAGAGAACAGACAGGGUUGCUGGAGGGGAGGUGGGG